AGAAUAGGGCAACAGCGCGGUGCAUUGCCUUGCACCGCUAGAACCAGUACAAGACCCCUGGACUCCAUCAGGUUGGGGUUUGGCAUCUGAGGCUUGGGUGAGAAAAAUGGCCCUCCAUGAUGGUUUGUUUCCUUAAGGGAAGUGUGGAGCUCUUUGCUCAGCCAGUGACCUGCUCCCUCUGACCGGAAGUAUGCAAGAUUCCGCGAGAUGCCGGCCAGGACGCAGGAACAGCGGCGAGAAAUUCGAUAAGAUGUCUA